GCCUAGCUGGCUUGGUUGCUAGAGCAUGUGACUCUUGAUCUUACAGUUGUGAGUUUGAUUCCCAUGUUGGGUG
rnacentral:tRNA from 1 species